CACCCAUUAAGCCAUUCUGUGCCAGUCACCGAUAGAUCCCCCAUUAACCCAUUCUGUGCCAGUCACCGAUAGAUCCCCAUUAACCCAUUCUGUGCCAGUCACGACAGAUCCCCAUUAACCCAUUCUGUGCCAGUCACCGAUAGAUCCCCCAUUAACCCAUUCUGUGCCAGUCGCCGAUAGAUCCCCAUUAACUCAUUCUGUGCCAGUCACGAUAGAUCCCCAUUAACCCAUUCUGUGCCAGUCACCGAUAGAUCCCCCAUUAACCCAUUCUGUGCCAGUCACCGAUAGAUCCCCCAUUAACCCAUUCUGUGCCAGUCACCGAUAGAUCCCCAUUAACCCAUUCUGUGCCAGUCGCCGAUAGAUCCCCAUUAACCCAUUCUGUGCCGGUCACC